CAGUCGCCGCGGGAAUACGGAGGGCGCGAGCGUUACCCGGAUUUACUGGGCGUAAAGGGCGUGUAGGCGGCCUGGGGCGUCCCAUGUGAAAGGCCACGGCUCAACCGUGGAGGAGCGUGGGAUACGCUCAGGCUAGAGGGUGGGAGAGGGUGGUGGAAUUCCCGGAGUAGCGGUGAAAUGCGCAGAUACCGGGAGGAACGCCGAUGGCGAAGGCAGCCACCUGGUCCACUUCUGACGCUGAGGCGCGAAAGCGUGGGGAGCAAACAGGAUUAGAUACCCCUGUAGUACCUGUCUCUUAUAC
rnacentral:rRNA from 1 species